GUUCCCAUUUCCUGAAUUCUCCUCUUCCCCAGUGAUAGUUCCACGUUAAUUUUGAGGGCAGUCUGCAGAGAGAUGUGCUGCUGUGACCUCGUGGUGUGAUCGAUCUGAAGAUGUGAUGAACGCUCUUGAAGUCUGAAUGCUUUAGGGAAAAGAAAACAAACCAUGGAUUUCUUUCUUUUCUAAAGCAUUUCUUUGUAUGAUAACCUCACAGUUGAGUGUAUACCUUGGUGAACCGUCCUUCUCCAAAACGUGGUAGUGGGAAUGAAGAACUGCUGAUCUGCAGUACCCGUUUUCUUGGGAUCAAGAGGCACGGUCUGCGGACAGGUAGAAUCCCCACUCGUGUGUGUGAAGCAGCAUGUGCCGUGACAUUGUGCAGCCACACAACAGCAGAGCUCUGAGUGCCAGCUGCUGGGAGCUGCCAUGGAGCUGCCUGCACCCAGGUUUAUCAUAUGCUCGGCUCAUCCAUCUGUGUCUCAGUCUCCGGUGGACUCAUGAGUUUCAUCAAGAAAACCAUUUUCAAACCAGCAGACCAAAACAGAUCGUUUUCGACUCCCAGCCUCAUCGAGGCUUUGCAGUAGUUUUGCCUCGUGUUUACGAUUUAUGGAUGCAACAGAAACACAGAGCAGGCGGGAGUGGUCCAGAGAUUUCCCCAUUGCAGGGCUGUGAGAGCUUCCACAUUGGAGUUUCAUCUGGGGGAGUAACGCAUCCUCUGGGCACUGCAGGUUGA
rnacentral:lncRNA from 1 species